rnacentral:rRNA from 1 species
GACGAACGCUGGCGGCGUGCCUAAUACAUGCAAGUCGAACGCUUCUUUCCUCCCGAGUGCUUGCACUCAAUUGGAAAGAGGAGUGGCGGACGGGUGAGUAACACGUGGGUAACCUACCCAUCAGAGGGGGAUAACACUUGGAAACAGGUGCUAAUACCGCAUAACAGUUUAUGCCGCAUGGCAUAAGAGUGAAAGGCGCUUUCGGGUGUCGCUGAUGGAUGGACCCGCGGUGCAUUAGCUAGUUGGUGAGGUAACGGCUCACCAAGGCCACGAUGCAUAGCCGACCUGAGAGGGUGAUCGGCCACACUGGGACUGAGACACGGCCCAGACUCCUACGGGAGGCAGCAGUAGGGAAUCUUCGGCAAUGGACGAAAGUCUGACCGAGCAACGCCGCGUGAGUGAAGAAGGUUUUCGGAUCGUAAAACUCUGUUGUUAGAGAAGAACAAGGACGUUAGUAACUGAACGUCCCCUGACGGUAUCUAACCAGAAAACCACGGCUAACUACGU